GGAGGGGGAGGGGAGGGAGGGGGGGGAGGGGAGCGUCACUGACGGGAGCGAUCGCCCCCUCCUCCCUCCCCGCUAACCCCGGCCUCCCCCCGCCCUCCCGCGCCGAGCCCUCCUCCUCCUCCUCCUCCUCCCCGCGCUGCUGCCCCUGCCCCUCUUCUCCCUCCUCCCCCUGCUCCUCCUGCUGCUGCUCUCAGUGCCGCUCUCGCCUCGCUCGCGCGCGGACGCGCCGGUGCCGGGGGGCCCGGGGAGCCGGGGCCGGAGCCGCCGGGGACCGCAUUGGAAACUGCAGCAGAAAGCACCUUUACCUACAGCCCCAGCCUGAAGUCUGUUGACAUCUGUGUGGGAUGAUUAACAACCUUCCUUGCUCGCUUCCACACCAGCCCCUGUAAGCAUCUGAGGUGGAAGCUGGGUACUGCAGCGCACUCUUGCCCCCUACAAACACCAAGCUAGAAGGGUGACGUAGCAAUGACAUCUGACAAAGUAGUUAGAAGUGCUCUUGAAGGCUUUAGAGCAGGAAGCAGCACCCUACCGCUCAGGCUGGAUCCAGCCUGCCAAGCCGUUUGAUCCAGCCAGUGGAUGUGGGUCUGGCAGGUGCUCUCCCCAUACUGCAGAGGAAGUGCUGGUGCUGCGCACCUACCCCAUGCUCCUAGUGCUCACCAGUUUCUGACCCAAACAGGUUAGUCCAGCCCACAGCCUUAAAAGGUUGCCUUAGAAAAUUACCCUGAAAAUAUAGUGUACAUAAUUCCAUGACCCAGAAUUUUCAAUUAGUUUGUUAUGCGCAGAAAAACUGAAAAUUGGAGGCAAAUAGUCCAGAAACAUGGUCAGAAUCUUGAAAUGUGGUUUCUGAUACUCAGAAGGAACCUUUUUAAUGAGUCAGAUCCCUAACAGAUCUUAGCUGAACUGUCUUACUUGUCGUUUUAAAAAAAACUACCACAGGCCACAGAAUUAACUGCAAUUUAAUCAUAGCCUGACUUUUCCUCAUCUCUGUUCUAGCUUCAGUGUUUCAUGUUGCACAUUCCAGAUGUAUAGGGCAGUACAAUAUUAUUUUAAGAACACAGGAGACAUCAUGAGAUUACUAUUAAAAAAAAAAACCAAGAAAAACAGUAAGCCCACAAACUAAAUCUUAGGUGAAGCUGUUCUUGGUACUAGGUUAUUUGUUGCCAUCUUGCAGUGGGGCAGCUGAUUCCAGAAAAGUUAUUAUUUCUAUUGAUUAUAACAACAAUAUGCUGUUUUCCCAUUUACAUGACUACUUCAUCUGGUACUAGUCAAACUUAUCAGCAAUCUUUUUUUUACUUAAUUUACCUUGUUGACUUUUUUUUUUAGCAUUGCCAUCAAUCUUGUUCAGCCCCAACACAGAACUCCCUCAGUUUUUGUUCUAUGCUUAUGAGAGAAGCAAGCAUUUUUUUAGCACAGCAACUAAAAUCAGUGGGUCACUGAAGUGUAUAAUAACAUUGAGUAAAAAUGAGAACUCUAACAUUGCCCAAUAAACAUAAGUGUAAAGAAAGUAAGAUGAGGCAUAAAAAGAAAGUUGCAAGGAAAUGUCAGGUGAGGGCAGGCGGAGGAAAAACAUGAAAAGAAUUGAUAAGAAAUCACAAGGUACAAGAAUUUUUCUCAGUUGGUUCCACAAAGGAGAAGACAGCAAAUGACAAUGUAAUGGGGGGAAAAUACAAAUGAUGAAUUCUCUCUCUUCCAUUCUAAUAGCAAAGCAAAGUCCUACUCAUUUAGAAACUGACAGUGAGAUAAGGUCAUCCUUUAUAUUUACAGAGUAUAACUCCAAAAGGGUCCAAUAUUUUUUCAGACUAGGAACCUGACCCACUGCAGACACAAGAAAUAUAAACUGCACCCUCUGAACUAGGAGUAGCUGCUCCAGUCUAAGGACAGAAUUGUUACCACUUCCCUUCUCUUAUAAGUUGCCUAGCAAACAUCUAUCUCUGUAUGCCCUAAAUAACCAAACCACCACCAGUUUGUGAAUCCUACUUUAAGGCUGCUUGUGGAAAGCUGCCAGUACCAUGGUGAAUUCUGGAUAGGUUUUCUAUAAAUGGUGCCUUAUAGUCUGGGUUAUAUUAGCAUGGAAGAAAGCAGAUAAAACCCAGGAAUGAAUGGAGUCCCUACAGUUAGAAAAAAAUUCUACCAACUUCUAAAAUACAACUCUCUCUGGGUGAAAUGCAACAUCCCUUGCAAUGAGUAGCAAAAUAAUUUAGGAAAGAAAGUAAUUACCAUAUCCUGGUAAAACUGAAGGCGAAAUUUAGAAAGAUCCAGUAAAAUGGAAUUUGGGCAGAACAUGGAAACACACAGCUCCACUUCUGCAGAUAUGUAGUAGAUCUUAAACCAAUGUCCUGAACUCUAGUAAUUUACAUUUCAUUCAGAUGAUAGUAUCUUCAGCAGCACAAGGACCUAAAUAAAGACCCAGAUAGUACUUUGUUGGAACUUCAGAUAAGUACUAAGUCAGAAAGAUAAGCAGCAUUUAACAGGAGGUAUGUCACAGUUUUUCUGCCUACCUUAAAUACUUCGAAAUGCUUUUCCCUCUCCUUUCUCCUCUUUCUUUUUUUUCUAGUGCCACACACUUUGCAAGUGCUACUAGAAACAAAAGCAACAACACAGCUCUGAUGCAAGCUCAUUAAACUUGCUAAAGCUCAGUUCUAGCCUUCCCUCCCUACCAGCAAUUAACUUUAGGUUGUACCAAACAAGGUAUUUAUCUGCUAUUUGUUUUCCCCCUCCCUUCUACAGUAAGGAGGACAUCAUUUGCUUAACAAUGUUGGAGGACUCCUAUAAAAUUAAUGUGGGAGGAACCAACAGGAGACAUACAAAAGGCCUCCAAAGGCCAGCAAGUACUUUGAGGCAGCUGCAUGACCAGCAUGCUGGAGACCUAAUCCAAAACCUGUUGAAAUCAGUAAAAAUCUUUUCAUUGAUUACAAUGUGUGGUAUCAGGUUAUGGUUGAGGAAGCACCUGAGAAAUGAUUCCUCUCCUGGCACCAGGUUCAAAUGAGAGUAGUAAUAGACAUAGCUGUUCAGCAGGAGCACCUCGAUGUCAGAAGACAGCUGCAUGUCCUCUGGUAAAUGAAUUUCAGUGAGCAGAGUUGAUCCUAAGAUAGUUGUGCAGGGACUGACUGUUACAUAUAGAACACUGCUUCUGUCCAGCUAGUUCAUUCAUCCUUAGCACGACUUAAAAUUGAACCAGUGGGAAAUUUAUUUCUACUUAACUAAAAAAAAUAGCUAUUUACCCAUGCACACGUUUUUGUUGCAUGUUCUGCAAAUUCUCAACUAAAGGCUGUUUCUUAAUUUGGUUGAUGACAUAAGCCUUAACUAAACAUUACAAACUCAUUCUACUGUGCUUUCUAGUGUUAAACUGUUAUGUGAUUGGUAUUAAAGAAAAAGUCUAAUUAGAUGGUUACCUUUUAAUGUUUAUUAUUUCUUUUGUCUGGCUUUUGAAUCUAUAAGUUACUAUGUAAAUGAACAGUUUAGUAGCUGAUAUCCACCAAAAAAUGAAUAAUUUGUUAUGAUUUCAUUGGUAACAUAUUCUGUCUACUAAAUUAACUUGACUAAAGCAGAAUGUUCUUUUCUACAAAGAGAAAGCAGAAAAGUGUCUGAUGCUCCGUUUAUUUUCUGGGACAAAGCAGGAAAAAUGUUAUGGGUGGCAGGGAAGAGUUGAUAGACAAAUGACUGAAACCCAGCACUUAACCAAAUGAGAUCACAGAAGUCAGAUUUUUUAUGGCUCAUUCAUUUCAUCUUGUUGUCUUCCCAUGUCAACAUGAAUCUAAUUUUUCUAAUUUCCUUUCCUUUAAAUUAUUAACAUUCUGGCCCCUUUAUUAUCCUGGUUGCCUCCUUUGUACCUGUUCAUUCUUACCUUUAAAGGUUACCCAAUGUAUUUUGUAUUUUUAAUUAAAGCAUAGGAGGCCCAAUCCUUCAAACUACAGUAAAGGAUGUCUGGAACUGUUUGGGACAAGAAUAGCGCAGUCUUGUAUGCUCUUCCUUAUUAUUUGCAUCUGACAUUCUUUCCAUCUUGUAAACAGAACAGUUUGCUAUAUCAGUAUCAACACCACAGCUUACCACUAACUCAAUAUUGAUACCACAAAAAAUUAAAUUUCUCACCCAUAAAGUGAAAGAGAUUUUCUCUGAGAAAAGGUAUUGAUAUAAAAUGUUCUCGUUUUGUGAAAGAAGAUAUACGAUGAAUUUGGAUGAGUUUAACCAAAUUAGAAACAAGAAGGUAAUGAAGCCAAAAAAUGAAACAACCCUCAUAUUUCCUUCAGUUUAAACAAUGUGUUCCUAGGGGCUUUAAACUUGAUUAAGAGUCAUUAGUCCAGAAAGAGCAAAUAUGAGGGAGCAUGACUAACUUAUGGCACAUACUAUGGGCGGGUAGUGUCUCCAGUUCCAGUUCCUGCACCAAGGGCUAUUUUUGUAUUUUCUGUUAAUUGAAGCACAGCCUGUCCUAUACUCCUAUAGGUGCGUUUGUAUUGCACAAAAAAUGAAGGCCAAAAUCAAAUCGAAUUCCCCUAUUUUACUUUACUGCCCACUGCUUCAUUUGAUGUAUUUUGUAUCAUCAUAUACCAUGUUCUGUUUUAAAUUUUGCUUAAACUGAUACAAUAAGAUUGUACUUUCUAUGCUUUUAGCAAAAAUUGUAAAGUAUAAAUAUUUUUUAAUUUCAUAUAUAAUUUGUAUUGUUCAUUAUACUAUAUUGUUUUAGCAAAAGUUAUAAAUAAACUACUACAUUAACUGAA